CAUGUGGUGGAUGCCUUGGCGAUUACAGGCGAUGAAGGACGUGAUAGCCUGCGAAAAGCUUCGGGGAGCUGGCAAAUUAGCUUUGAUCCGGAGAUAUCCGAAUGGGGAAACCCACCCUUAGGGGUAUCGCAUGCUGAAUACAUAGGCAUGCGAGGCGAACCGAGUGAACUGAAACAUCUAAGUAACUCGAGGAAAAGACAUCAACCGAGAUUCCGAAAGUAGUGGCGAGCGAAAUCGGAGGAGCCUAGUCCUCUUUAGCAUCGAAUUUAUCAAAACAGCUUGGAAACGCUGGCCAUAGUGGGUGAUAGCCCCGUAUGAGAAAAGUUUGGUGUGGAACUGAGUGGACGAUAAGUAGGGCGGGACACGAGAAAUCCUGUCUGAAGAUGGGGGGACCAUCCUCCAAGGCUAAAUACUCGUAAUCGACCGAUAGUGAACAAGUACCGUGAGGGAAAGGCGAAAAGAACCCCGGGAGGGGAGUGAAAUAGAUCCUGAAACCGCAUGCAUACAAAAAGUAGGAGCCGCAAGGUGACUGCGUACCUUUUGUAUAAUGGGUCAGCGACUUACAUUCAGUGGCGAGGUUAACCGAAUAGGGAAGCCGAAGAGAAAUCGAGUCCGAAUAGGGCGUCUAGUCGCUGGGUGUAGACCCGAAACCAAGUGAUCUAUCCAUGGCCAGGAUGAAGGUGCGGUAACACGCACUGGAGGUCCGAACCGACUAAUGUUGCAAAAUUAGCGGAUGAGCUGUGGAUAGGGGUGAAAGGCUAAACAAAUCUGGAAAUAGCUGGUUCUCCCCGAAAACUAUUUAGGUAGUGCCUCAAGUAUUACCAUCGGGGGUAGAGCACUGUUUAGGCUAGGGGGUCAUGGCGACUUACCAAACCUAUGCAAACUCCGAAUACCGAUGAGUACAGCUUGGGAGACAGUGCACCGGGUGCUAACGUCCGGACACAAGAGGGAAACAACCCAGACCGCCAGCUAAGGUCCCUAAAAUUGGCUAAGUGGGAAACGAAGUGGGAAGGCUAAAACAGUCAGGAUGUUGGCUUAGAAGCAGCCAUCAUUUAAAGAAAGCGUAAUAGCUCACUGAUCGAGUCGUCCUGCGCGGAAGAUGUAACGGGGCUCAAGCCAGUUACCGAAGCUGCGGAUUCACAGUUUACUGUGAGUGGUAGGAGAGCGUUCUGUAAGCCUGAGAAGGUGUCUUGAGAAGGAUGCUGGAGGUAUCAGAAGUGCGAAUGCUGACAUGAGUAGCGUUAAAGGGGGUGAAAAGCCCCCUCGCCGAAAGCGCAAGGUUUCCUACGCAACGUUCAUCGGCGUAGGGUGAGUCGGCCCCUAAGGCGAGGCAGAGAUGCGUAGCUGAUGGGAAACAGGUCAAUAUUCCUGUACCGAUCUAUAGUGCGAUGUGGGGACGGAGAAGGUUAGCUCAGCCAACUGUUGGAAUAGUUGGUUCAAGCCUGUAGUCGUGCCUGGUAGGCAAAUCCGCCGGGCUGAGAUGAGGGGUGAUAACGGGUCUGCUUGCAGACGAAGUGAGUGAUACCCUGCUUCCAGGAAAAGCCACUAAGCUUCAGCUAUAGACGACCGUACCGCAAACCGACACUGGUGCGCGAGAUGAGUAUUCUAAGGCGCUUGAGAGAACUCUGGAGAAGGAACUCGGCAAAUUGACACCGUAACUUCGGAAGAAGGUGUGCCUUAAGUAGGUGAACCUGUACAAGGGGAGCCGAACAAGGUCGCAGAGAAUCGGUGGCUGCGACUGUUUAAUAAAAACACAGCACUCUGCAAAGACGAAAGUCGACGUAUAGGGUGUGACGCCUGCCCGGUGCUGGAAGAUUAAUUGAUGGGGUGCAAGCUCUUGAUCGAAGUCCCAGUAAACGGCGGCCGUAACUAUAACGGUCCUAAGGUAGCGAAAUUCCUUGUCGGGUAAGUUCCGACCUGCACGAAUGGCGUAACGAUGGCCACACUGUCUCCUCCUGGGACUCAGCGAAGUUGAAAUGUUUGUGAAGAUGCAAUCUCCCCGCGGCUAGACGGAAAGACCCCAUGAACCUUUACUGUAGCUUUGCAUUGGACUUUGACGGGACUUGUGUAGGAUAGGUGGGAGGCAGUGAGACGUGGUCGCCAGAUCACGUGGA
rnacentral:rRNA from 1 species